CAUAUAUUGCAUCAUGUUUACCAUGGAUUAAAUCAAAUUGUCGUUGGUUUCAAUCAUAGCCGUCGUUGAUCACAAUCAUAGUCAUCGCAGAUCAACUCAAUGCUGUUGUGGAUUACAUUAUGGUUGUCGUGGAUUUCUAUCGCCGUUUUCUGGAUUGACAUCGCCAUUGUCGUUGUGGAUUUUAUGGAACCAAUCUUGGGGAUUUAUCAUUUGAGGAUUACGUUAAUCUACGAAUGAAGACCAAGAACGACGUUUCAGAACCGUCAAAGUUUUGAACCAUGCAAAACUUAAAACGUUCAUCAAACACUA